rnacentral:rRNA from 1 species
CUACGGGUCGCUGCAGUGAGGAAUAUUGCACAAUGGGGGGAACCCUGAUGCAGCAACGCCGCGUGGAGGAUGACGCGUUUCGGUGUGUAAACUCCUUUUAUAUGUCAAGAAAAUGACGGUAGCAUAUGAAUAAGCACCGGCUAACUCCGUGCCAGCAGCCGCGGUAAUACGGAGGGUGCAAGCGUUACUCGGAAUCACUGGGCGUAAAGGACGCGUAGGCGGGUUGGAAAGUCAGGUGGGAAAUCCUACAGCUUAACUGUAGAACUGCACUUGAAACUUCUAAUCUAGAGUAUGGGAGGGGAGAUGUAAUUAGUGGUGUAGGGGUAAAAUCCGUAGAUAUCACUAGGAAUACCUAAAGCGAAGGCGAUCUCCUGGAACAUUACUGACGCUAAGGCGUGAAAGCGUGGGGAGCAAACAGGAUUAGAUACCCCCGUAGUC